UGCUCAGGAUUAAUCAUGUUUGUUUCUGCUGAAGUACUUGAAGGCGUGAAUUUGUCUCUGCUAUCUCGAGUGAUGUCAUCCAGGCUUUCCCGUGGAACCUACAAUGGUGGACUACUCUCAACUGAAGCUGGGACGAUAGCUCGUGUGAUUGCUGAUGCCACAAUAACCCUGGCUGGGUACUUAGGCCAGAAUAGGCUCCUGAACGCCACCCUUAUUCCUUCGCUCUUCAUUUCUGUGGCCUCCAUUAUUGCCACCUGUUUUACCUACAACUCGCUCUAUUGAUUUGUAAGUUGUACAAAUUAGUCAUUUGAUUAGUGAAGUCCAGCUUCUCGAAUUUGUUCUUUUUUUUAAAAAAAAAAGA
rnacentral:misc_RNA from 1 species